AGCCAACUCUAGCCCAACCCCCCACGACAACCGCACAUAAAAAUCUACUAAAUCUUUAAAUCAAAACAUUCUUCCAACUAAGUAUAGGCGAUAGAAAAGUCAUUAGGCGCUAUAGAGAUCUGUACCGCAAGGGAGAGAUGAAAUAACAAUGAACUAAGCCGAGCAAUAAACAGCAAAGAUAAACCCUUGUACCUCUUGCAUUAUGGUCUAGCUAGAAUAACCAAGCAAAGUGGACUUAAGCUUGCCACCCCGAAACCUAAGCGAGCUACUUGUAAGCAGCUAACCCUGAGCGAACCCGUCUCUGUUGCAAAAGAGUGGGACGACUUACUAGUAGAGGUGAAAAGCCAAUCGAGCUAGGUGAUAGCUGGUUACCUGCAAAACGAAUCUAAGUUCACCCUUGACACCUCCUCCAGGAGCCCUUACCACAACCCCAAUGUAGGUCAUCAAGAGUAAUUUAAAGGAGGUACAGCUCCUUUAAAAAAGGAUACAACCUUCACCAGCGGAUAAUUACAGCCUUACAUAACAAUUGUGGGCCUUUAAGCAGCCAUCAGUAAAGAGUGCGUCAAAGCUCCCCUUUACAAAAAUCCUAAAUCCGUAUGACUCCCUCCCCACUAGCAGGUCAACCUAUACUAAUAGGAGAGUUAAUGCUAAAAUGAGUAACUAGGGCAAACCCCCUCUUAAGCGCAAACUUACAUCUACACAUUAUUAACAGGCACCUAAUACUCACACUACAACAAGACUACGUAUUACAUCCCCUGUUAUCCCAACCCAGGAGCGCAUGCUAGAAAGAUUGAAAUCUGUAAAAGGAACUAGGCAAAUCUCCAAGGCCCGACUGUUUACCAAAAACAUAGCCUUCAGCCAAACGAGUAUUGAAGGUGAUGCCUGCCCAGUGACUUUGUUCAACGGCCGCGGUAUCCUAACCGUGCGAAGGUAGCGCAAUCAAUUGUCUCAUAAAUUGAGACUUGUAUGAAUGGCUAAACGAGGUCUUAACUGUCUCUUGCAGAUAAUCAGUGAAAUUGAUCUUCCUGUGCAAAAGCAGGAAUAAACACAUAAGACGAGAAGACCCUGUGGAACUUAAAAAUCAGCAGCCACCUCGCAACAAAACUUAACCUACUAGGCUCACCAGACAUGAUGCUGGCUCGCAUUUUUCGGUUGGGGCGACCUUGGAGAAAAACAAAACCUCCAAAAAUAAGACCACCCCUCUUAACUAAGAGCAACCCCUCAACGUACUAACAGUAACCAGACCCAAUAUAAUUGACCAAUGGACCAAGCUACCCCAGGGAUAACAGCGCAAUCUCCUCCAAGAGUCCAUAUCGACGAGGAGGUUUACGACCUCGAUGUUGGAUCAGGACAUCCUAAUGGUGCAGCCGCUAUCAAGGGUUCGUUUGUUCAACGAUUAAUAGUCCUACGUGAUCUGAGUUCAGACCGGAGCAAUCCAGGUCGGUUUCUAUCUAUGUCGUACUUUUCCCAGUACGAAAGGACCGGAAAAGUGAGGCCAAUGAUUCAACACAUGCCUCCUCCCUAAGUAAUGAAUACAACUAAAUUACAAAGAGAUCCCACACAGUACCCAAUCCUAGAAAAGGAUC
rnacentral:rRNA from 1 species